GAGGGUGAAAUGGGGCGUUUCAGGUCGAUUGUAACCUGAAAAAUGAAUGCCUACUUUAUUUUUAUUUUUUAAGCUUUCUGAUUUAUUAGAAGAGAACGAACAAGCCAGACGAACUGCAGUAUCGUUUGAGCCCUCAUCCUCAAA
rnacentral:ribozyme from 13 species